AAAAUGCUCCACAACAUUAAUUAUUCAUCUAUGAACUAUAGCAUGCAUUUUAUUUAAAACAAAAGUCCACACACAACUCUAGGCAUAAGCCAAACGAAAUCCAAAUCGCCACUCCAGAGAGGUUUCCUCGAAUCUUGGCACAAAUAUAAAAUUAAUUUCCCAACUAAAACUCUAAUAUUUAAACAAAAUAGGCAAAAUUAACCGAGAGCCAUAAUUACGCUCAUCAUUGCCUAACUUCGCUAUUCUUAAAUCGAAACGAUCCGAACUUAAAUAUCAUACUCGGCAGCCGUAAUUACAACCUCCCAAAAAAUACGACUUAAAUCCUACGGCCGGAUUCUUCAUUAAUUAACCGCUAAAAAUACCACACUUUGGAAAUUCAUAAACCUAUCCAAAACUCAUCCAAAAAUUCCAUAACUCACUUCAACAAACUCCCCUUAAUAUUCUAAAUUUAAAACCCUAAAAAUCUUCCAAACAGUGGCGGGGCCGGCGCCGGCAGCGGCGGCCGGAGGCCGAUUCCGGCGACCUCCAAUGCCUAUGAAAUUUUGACAGAAUAAUCCUCUCAUCAUGCUCUACAACUUUCCUAACUAGCACAAACACCAAUUCCAAGCCUAACUAGGGUAAUCGACUAAAAACAUCAAAAACGCUCUAGAAUUUCAACUUCACCUUUCUCCUUACCUAGCUCAAGAGAGGGUGAGCUGUUUGGAGGGGUUGCUGCACGGGAGGAGGGCUACAAAACGAGCCAAGGAUCGUCGGUUUUGGUGGCCGGAGGAGGGAGUUCCGGCGUCGGGAGGCUUAACACAGUCGGACCUCUCGGGCCCGAUAUCUUCCUCACGGCGGCGCUAGGGGAGCUGUCACCGGUCCAGGGAUGUAGCUGGGUCGGAGGCCGACCGAACGGGACUGGUGCGGCGGCGGUUGGUGGCCGGACAGCGACGGACAGCCAAGAGGAAAACCGGCGGGGAGAGAGGGCUCGGGUGUGGGAAACCGGGAGGGAGAGAGAG
rnacentral:lncRNA from 1 species